GGUAAAAGACAGUUAAGCAAGAACGAUAAUUAUAUGACCUUUAGUAGAGGAGUAAAAUCUAAAUACUGAAAGUUAUACCAAACAUAAUUUAUUUUAAAUGCUGAAUCUGUGACAACUUUAAGGGAAACUGGGAUUGGAUACCCCACUAUUUUUAGUUAUAAACAUAGUUCAAGCUUACCAGAGUACUACGAAUAAAAAGUUUAAAACUCAAAGGGCUUGGCGGUGUUUUAGACCUCUCAGGGGAACCUGUCUCAUAAUCGACAAUCCACGUCAGACCUGACCCUUUGUAGCAAUUCAGUCUGUAUACCGUCGUCGUCAGGUAACUUCUAAAAAUAUAGCAGUUAGCUCGAUAAUUCUGUUAAUUAGAACGUCAGAUCAAGGUGCAGCUAAUAAAAGGGGGAGGAUGGGUUACAAUUAUAUAUUUAUAACUACGGAAAAAACCUGAAAUGAGGUAAUUAGAAGGAGGACUUGAAAGUAAUUUUGAUUAUAUAAACAAAAUGAAUAAGGCUCUGAAACGUG
rnacentral:rRNA from 1 species